rnacentral:rRNA from 1 species
CAGUAGCCGCGGUAAUACGAAGGGGGCUAGCGUUGCUCGGAAUGACUGGGCGUAAAGGGCGCGUAGGCGGCGAUCAAAGUCAGGCGUGAAAUUCCUGGGCUCAACCUGGGGGCUGCGUUUGAUACCUGAUUGCUAGAGUGGGGAAGAGGGUCGUGGAAUCCCCAGUGUAGAGGUGAAAUUCGUAGAUAUUGGGAAGAACACCGGUGGCGAAGGCGGCGACCUGGUCCUUGACUGACGCUGAGGCGCGAAAGCGUGGGGAGCAGACAGGAUUAGAUACCCCAGUAGUCCCUGUCUCUUAUAC